CGGCGAGGAACAGAUGGCAUGGCGUUCCCAGCCUCCUUCUGCCGCCGAGUUCUGAUGUUGCUAGAUCCUUUCAACAGAUCAAAUGAAGUGACAGAAUACGGAAGGAGUAUCACUUCCAUGUCCUUGCCAGCAUUUUCAAGCGGACUCUGUUUCGGUUUGACCUGGAUACAUACAAUGGAGGACAAAAAGUUUAUGCUGGGGAAAUAUUUAGAGCUAUAUGUUAGUUCUAACAAUCUUACUAUUCAAGAGAAAAUAUUCUUUCCUCUUUAUUUCAUGCUGUAAUUUUUUGUUUGUAGUAGAUUGUGGGAAUCAUGAAACCAUGUAUAGGCCAAAGAGAUAUGAUCUCCUAUAUAGAUAUUACAUUGGCAAGAAGAUAUGAAAAUGCAGCUAAAUAGUUACCAUUUAA